rnacentral:rRNA from 1 species
UACGAACUGUGCAAACGUUAUUCGGAAUUAUUGGGCGUAAAGGGCGCGUAGGCGGCGAUUCAAGUGACGGGUGAAAUCCCUCGGCUUAACCGAGGAACUGCCUGUCAGACUGGAUUGCUUGAGGCCGGGAGAGGCGAGUGGAAUUCCCAGUGUAGCGGUGAAAUGCGUAGAUAUUGGGAGGAACACCAGUGGCGAAGGCGGCUCGCUGGACCGGUUCUGACGCUGAGGCGCGAAAGCGUGGGGAGCAAACAGG